AAUUUUGAUUUUCUACCCUGGUGUAAAUUCAUGGGACAAUUUUUUUAACUUUUCACCAAUCACACUGCCGCCCCAUUUCUCCAAAUUUUGCAAUGAUAUCUUGUCGCACAACCUGCCUCACAUUAGUCCAUAGAUUGAGGGGUUUACACGAAGUGUGAGGCCAUGGCAUCAAAACUGACUCAAGACUUGAGGUGCGAUCUUAUCAGAGAGGUUGCUGUUCGAAGAAUCCGUUUUGCACAUGACUUUAGUUUGCUUUCUUGUAGUUGUAUGCAGAUCCGGUAGAGUUCUCUGUAGUAUAGUCGCACAUUGUUACAUUAUGAUGUUAAUUAGAGGCUCUGAGAAUUCAAAGCGCUUGCGUUGCAUUACUUUCUGCAGGUUUUGAAUCUCCGGACGACUUUAACCUUUUUGUCUGACAUUGGUUUAUUCGAGGGCAUGUUGGCGAAUGCGGGCACAUUGUAGUUUGUGAUUAGGGUAACAUUGAGUGACAGUUGAGAAGAUGAAGCUGCAAUUUGGAAUCAUGAGAAACUGCUGCUAAUCAGUGUGUUUGCCAUUUGUUUGUUGAAUUCUUUUUGGAGAUGCUAAUCACCCCAGACCUGUGGUUCUAUGCAACCUCACGGUCACCGAAUCGUUUUGAGCUCAGUUGGAAAUCAUCUUCCUUGCCCGAAAUAAACUUUGUUAAAAUAUCAAUCAGCUGGGUGAAAAAUCACGAAGGAAAUUGGCUUUCAAGCGAAGGUGGUGAUGAAGUACCACCGUCUGAGUCGGUUUCUGAAAGCAUAAAAUGGAGACGACGAACCGGAGAUUGCUGUUGCGCUUCUGUUCCUCGGACUCUGGCUUGUGUCGCUUGCUCUCUGCAGCAUUGGAUUCAGUGAACGAAUUGCACUGCUUGUACUCACUGUAAUCUCAGUGCCAAAACACCCUCUUAAGGUCUUAAUCUGGUGAGUGAAGGAGACAUGGGAACGAAGUAGCUAGUCCGCUGAAAAGAGAGUCUUGAAGGACCAGGACAAAGUGCACUUGAGAAGGACCAAAUCGCCGCAGCAGAUGGAUCCUUCAUCUGAGAAUGGGCGGGCUAUCACUCUACGUUCUAAGGUAUCGGUGCUUUGAACCAAUUGUGGAGUCUCCCAUGGCGAAUGCAAGCGAAUGGGAAGGUGUCGAACAAGAUUGUGAGAAAGCUUUGGAGCUGGAUAAUACCUCACUGUCAAGGUAAGAUUAGACGACAUUCCUCACCAUUGUUGAUGGCCAGCGCAAUUCGGUGGAGCCUCGUAGAAAUAUUCCUUCACCUUAGCAUAGUGAAGGAGAUGAAAUUUGAGAAAGGAUUAAAGAAGUGAAAGAGGAUGGUAGAUUGUUUUACACAGGCAACUCUACAAGCUCAAGAUCUACGGACUACCAAAAGAUCUUUAUUCUUGUGAAGAUGGUAUAUAGAUACAAAUAAGAGCAUUCAAUAGAAUAAGAAAUCAGAUAAGAGCGUGGAGCUUCUUUUCAAACUCAGCAGUGACCAUCAAAAUUUGUUGGUUGAACUAUUUUAGACUUUGUUCCUACAAGAUUAGAAAUAAAGACCUAAAUCUAAUCACCAAAUUAGAUUUAGGUAACUAUGGUUGUAAAA